UGGGGAAUAUUGCACAAUGGGGGAAACCCUGAUGCAGCGACGCCGCGUGGAGGAAGAAGGUCUUCGGAUUGUAAACUCCUGUUGUUGAGGAAGAUAAUGACGGUACUCAACAAGGAAGUGACGGCUAACUACGUGCCAGCAGCCGCGGUAAAACGUAGGUCACAAGCGUUGUCCGGAAUUACUGGGUGUAAAGGGAGCGCAGGCGGGAAGACAAGUUGGAAGUGAAAUCUAUGGGCUCAACCCAUAAACUGCUUUCAAAACUGUUUUUCUUGAGUAGUGCAGAGGUAGGCGGAAUUCCCGGUGUAGCGGUGGAAUGCGUAGAUAUCGGGAGGAACACCAGUGGCGAAGGCGGCCUACUGGGCACCAACUGACGCUGAGGCUCGAAAGUGUGGGUAGCAAACAGGAUUAGAUACCCUGGUAGUCCACACCGUAAACGAUGAUUACUAGGUGUUGGAGGAUUGACCCCUUCAGUGCCGCAGUUAACACAAUAAGUAAUCCACCUGGGGAGUACGACCGCAAGGUUGAAACUCAAAGGAAUUGACGGGGGCCCGCACAAGCAGUGGAGUAUGUGGUUUAAUUCGACGCAACGCGAAGAACCUUACCAAGUCUUGACAUCCCUUGACGAUGCUGGAAACAGCAUUUCUCUUCGGAGCAAGGAGACAGGUGGUGCAUGGUUGUCGUCAGCUCGUGUCGUGAGAUGUUGGGUUAAGUCCCGCAACGAGCGCAACCCUUAUGGUCAGUUACUACGCAAGAGGACUCUGGCCAGACUGCCGUUGACAAAACGGAGGAAGGUGGGGAUGACGUCAAAUCAUCAUGCCCUUUAUGACUUGGGCUACACACGUACUACAAUGGCGUUAAACAAAGAGAAGCAAGACCGCGAGGUGGAGCAAAACUCAGAAACAACGUCCCAGUUCGGACUGCAGGCUGCAACUCGCCUGCACGAAGUCGGAAUUGCUAGUAAUCGUGGAUCAGCAUGCCACGGUGAAUACGUUCCC
rnacentral:rRNA from 1 species